rnacentral:lncRNA from 1 species
AUGGACAUGUUUCUCAUGAUCCGGUGCCACAAGACCACCAUCUUUCUGGAUGCCAAGAAGUUGAGCACUGUGUUCGAAUUGAAGCACAUCGUCGAGGACAUCCUCAAGCGGCCGCCAGAGGAGCGGCUGCUUUACAAGGAUGACCAGCUCCUUGAUGAUGGCAAAACUCUGGGCGAGUGUGGCUUCACUAGCCAGACAGCACAGCCACAGUGGGCCUGGCCUUCCGAGAAGAUGACACCUUCGAAACUCUCCGCAUUGAGCCCUUCUCCAGCCCUCCCGAGCUUCCAGAUGUGAUGAAGCCACAGGAUUCUGGAGGCAGUGCCAAUGAACAAGCUGUGCAGUGA